CAUUAGGUGCCCUUCGGGGAAAGUUGAGACAGGUGGUGCAUGGUUGUCGUCAGCUCGUGUCGUGAGAUGUUGGGUUAAGUCCCGCAACGAGCGCAACCCUUGACUUUAGUUGCCAGCAGGUGAAGCUGGGCACUCUAGAGUGACUGCCGGUGACAAACCGGAGGAAGGUGGGGAUGACGUCAAAUCAUCAUGCCCCUUAUGACCUGGGCUACACACGUACUACAAUGGCCGGUACAACGGGAA
rnacentral:rRNA from 1 species